rnacentral:tRNA from 1 species
AAAAAUUUAGUUAAUAAUAAUAACAUUAGUUUGUCAAACUAAAAUAACCCUAAGGGUAAUUUUUA